rnacentral:tRNA from 1 species
CCCUCAUUAGUUUAAUAGGUAAAACUUUUAAUUGUCAAUUAAAGAGAUCCAAGUUCGAAUCUUGCCUGAGGUG